ACCUACCAUUUUGGCCCACCUGCAACCCCGGUCCCCCGGCCCCCCCCGGCCCGCAUUUUUUUUUCUCUCCUGAGCCUCUACUCUUCGAUUCUAAAAAAAAAGAAAAAAAAAAAAAAACGAAGAAGAAGGAAUUUUCAAUAGUCCCACUUGUCAAGCGAAGACCAUCUUUUAACCUUCAACAGCAGCGAAAGCCGUGUGAACUCUCGGUGAACCAAGAUUGAAGUCAUAAAUCACGCGUACAAAGGCGGCUGCGGAGGCUGGCGCGGGCUGCUGCACCUUUAACGCUUUCUGGGGCUGACAGGCGGCGGCCCAGCUAAAGUUCACAGCGCCCGGGGAGGGCCCGCCCCCGCCUCCCGGCCCGCCCCCGCCUCCCCUCCCCCAGUUCGGCCCCGGCCCCGGCUCCCGCCCCCGGCCCGGCCCGCCGCUCCGCAGCCGAAGCUACGCACGGAGGAGGCCCCUUAGCUCUUCCCGCAAAGGGCGGGGGGCGCAUUUUUUCUCCUGCCAGCCCGCUCCAUCCGGGUCGUUUAUUCCCUGCCUCCCCUCACCCCUCAUCCCCACAGCCUGCUGUAUGUAAAUAGGCAAAUAGAUCUACACGGACACAAUAAUUUAGCUUGUUUGGUCUUUGGCAUUUUCUACAAGACCCCAAGAGAUGGACUUUUCUCUCCCCUUCCUCCGUUUAGAACUGGCAUCCUUCAUCUCUGUCCAUGCAGGCCCAAUUAUCCAGAUCCUUGGGGCUCCAAUAGGGUCUGAGUCAUAGGAACCAGAACACCUGGGUGAAACAUGCCACAUAAUUAGAUUUUCUUUUUCUUUUCGUUCUUUUUUUUUUUUUUAAUUUUUUUUUUUCACUAAGAGGGCUGGAAUUAGCUUCCUCGACUGGGGCGGAGUGGCUGGGGUAGGGGACAGGGACGCCUUCGUACGAAGUCCAGCUUUCAGCUCCUUGGAGCGAUCUCCAAGUUCCCCGAGCCGGGACUUCCUUUCCUCGGCCUCUUGGCCCCCUCCUCCUCCUUCUCCGAUCGUUUUGUUUUUUUUUUAUUCCCCCCACUGUCUUCUCUACGAUUUAAUUAAAGUUCAGCGACUCCACUUGCCUCUCCUCUCAUUUCUUUCGGAAAGCGGAAACCAGAUGACCCAGCAGCCACGGGCCCAGCCGCCCCAGCUCAACCCCAGCAGGACGCUGGAGGGGCCUCCCUCUCCCGCCUCCCUCCGCCGGCGCUGGCCUCCCGGACCCGGGUCUGCAGUCCCUCCGCCAACCCGCAGGAGGAGUUAA
rnacentral:lncRNA from 13 species